rnacentral:ncRNA from 2 species
CAGCAGCCAUAACUCCGAGCUUUAUUCACUAAGUUGCAGCCUUUCGGGGAUGACAAUAGGUGAAUGAAGCCAGUGACAGAGUAGUCACCAGGGUCGACAAAGAAAUGCAUCGGCCUCCCGUAUUUGGAAAGGUGUUCCGUGGCGAAUCAA